ensembl:lincRNA
CUCGUACUCUCCUCCCUAUAAAAUUCUGAGCAAGCUGCCUUGUGAAGACGUUCUGGCCCCUGGCUCAAGGCUGUUCAUUCUCUCGCAAUCGCUUCAGUAAAAUCACAUUCCUCCGCGCUUGUUUGUUUUUGUUUCCAUCUUUUCCUUGUUGUUGGUUUGCCUUUGGCAUUAAGAAUAAGUUCAUAUUCUUGUCAUCUUCCCGCUUUCAAAAUGCUAAAGCCUACAAAAAUUAGGAAAUUCUGGGCAAUUUUUAUUUUUAAAAAUACAAGACAGUUAAAAAUGAAAAAAAUUGUGCUGUGAAUAUCCUGAUCUCAUGAGAAUAACUCUGUAUCUCCAGAUGGACACGCUAUUUUUGCUAGGAUUUCAUUCAAGAAAAGGGAAGAAGACCCACCUGAAUUGUUUAGCGGCUGUGUGGCACUAGAGAGAAAGGAUUUCCUGCAUUGACCACAGCCCAGGACCGAGUGUUCCCCCAUGCCAGCGUCAUGUGUGGGGCAGAGAGCGGCCCAAAGCCCACCUGCACUCCCCGUACGCUGGCACUGUGUGUGUUGACCGAAGGAUUUCAGAAACACGGAGUCAGAAAUCUGUGUCGCAGACUGGAUGAGACAUUUAUCUAACACGGCACAUUGGUAAGCGAGAAAACCACAGCAGGAACCAGCAACGUGCUGAGAGAGCAGAUGAGAGCAUGGUUCCUGCAAAGUGGGAGUUGUGCAGUAGGGAGGAAGGCAAGUCCGGGGAAGUCAGUUGCAACACGGGGAGUCUGAUUGCUUCUCCCUUGUUGUUUUUCCUUGGGCUCACCCUUCGUCCCUUGCAGGUGUUGGUCUUUCGAAACCUGUCUUAUGAUUCAGGAAAUUGGGAGACUCCUGCGAAGGCUGGUGUGUCCUCCCACAGGCCUCCUCUCUUAAGAAAUCUACCACCACCCGAGAUGGCCCUGCUGGGAAGGAGUCUUUCCUGGCUCUCUGGGACUUCUGGGAUUUCCGGGACUUCCAGGACUGCUGAGACUGCCGGGACUUCCGGUGCAGAAGCUCCAGCCAAUGUGAUUGUCCUCUGCCGUGCAGCCUAGAGGCCCCUUGCCAGCCUGGUCCUCACAGCCUUCCAGAUUCUGCUCUGAGCCAUCGCCAGUGGUUCACACAGACGGGCAGCAGGUGCUGACCACUAAUCCACCUCCAUUUUUCAUCAAGGCUGGCCUUCUCCAAGAAGGUCUCAGGUGCAUGGUGCCAGGCAUCAGGAAGUUCCUGACCGAAAAGGAUCAGGCACCCCUUCUACCCACAGGCAACAGCUUGUACUGAGGAGAACAUUGCCACAGCCUAGGCCUUCAGGUCUCAGUGUGCUGUGAGGUAACUCUGGGACUCUGGAAGGGAUGGUGGAAGAGUCCCCUCCCUGGUAAGACUCAAAUGGACCAUCCAGGAGAUGACAGAGACACUAAACAAAGGACUCAGGAGAUUUCUUCUGAUAAGCUAUAUUCUAGCUGUAAUUAUUUAAUUAAAAAGUUUACUAGCAUAGGGCUGGGGAUUUAGCACAGUGGUUCGGUGGCCUGCCUUGCAAGCGCAAGGACCCGAGUUCAAUCCCCGGUACAAAAUAAAAAAGUUUACUAGCAUAAAUAUGUAUCGUUGUUUAGAAAAGCAAAAGAAAACCCCAAAAUAAACAAAGCUAAUCAGUAUUUACAGAUAGAAUGUUUGAAAUCUGAAAAUGAAACCAAAUUCACUAUGUUAUUUGCAAGACAAAAUAUAUGCUCCUUGUAGAAACAUGGACAAUGCAUUAAAAACAAAGACAAAAGCAAACAAAAAAUAGCUAAUUCAAUUUCUUUUCCUUGUCUCUCUCCAGUAAUCCUUCUUUACUUUGUACCAGGAAUGUACGGCAUGACAAGUUAACAAAAGCAGUUCUCUGUGCAUGGCUAAUUCCCAGGGAGGGAUCAAGGGCGAAGGGCAAUGACCACGUGUUAAAAGGUCAGAGCUGUGUGUCAGGAGACGUCCACUCCCACAGAGAACAAGGCAAGGCCUUGGGGCCCGGGACACUGGGUCUGUCUCUUUGUAAAGUUCAAAAAGAGACAGGACUCAUUGAAGUGUGAAAGAACAAACUUAUUCACGAGGUGCCUGCAAAUGGAUUUACACCAUAGGAAAUUAAAUCAGUGUUAUUGAGAGCUGGAGUUCAGCUUCUUUAAAAAAAUCCAGUUUCUUGCAGCACAACUGGAUUCCUAUUUUGACUGCACCAGUUUUUCCUUUGUGCUUAUAGAACACUAAUUUUCUUAAGCUAUUGAAAUAUUAGGUUUUAAAAAAUGUUUUGUGAACAAAUUUUGUUUUGUUUUUUUUUUUUUGACAAAGUUUUUGGUCUGAAAAACAAACAACAAUGCACCAAAAGAUCUGCAAAACCAGACUUAAGAUUCCCUGAGACAAAGAUACCUGAGACAAAGAAGAACCGGAAGAAGGCAGCAUAUUUCUGGAUAAUGCACUGCAGAAAAUCUCCCCUAGGUGAACGUGCGUUUAAUAGGCACAUGAACAGUUUAACAGGUACCAGGGAUGCAGCAGGUUUAUUACAAAAAUAAGACAUUGUCCGCUUGUUCUUUUUGUCUCAGAAUUAGGAAGCUAAAGCCAAUAAGGAUGAUAGUGCAUGAUGUUUAGUGUGGCACAGAUCCUGCAUCCUUAUUUGCAGGUUUGCUUGGAAGUAUUUCUUCUUCCACGAGGAGACACUUGGCUGCAGUUUCUCAAGUCUGCUGGGCAAUAACCAAUAAAAAGGCGGAGAGGAAUUGCGAAAGAACCUUCUAGUUUCAAUCAAUUCAAAUAAGAUUUGAACUAUUGUUAAGGAAGUAAAUAGCAAAUAAACAACACAUGGCUCUAAGUUUGACACCCAAAAGUUUUCCUUUGAUUUUUUAACAUCUUUAUUUUUGCUGGUCCAUGUUUGCAGUACAUAAUGAACGUAGUUGUCAUGGGGAGUUGGCUCACGUACAUAACACAGUUUACUUCUUUCUAGUUCCCUUUCUUUCCUCUCCCUCCCUCCACUCUCCAUCUCUUGGUCCCUUUCCCAUUUGCAAAAUAUCUACCUCCCUGUUUCUUAUUAUCUGUCUUUUAUUUUGCUCUUUCAUUCAUUUAUUCUUUAGUUUUUGAUGAGAAAUUCCC